UACGGAGGGUGCAAGCGUUGUCCGGAUUUAUUGGGUUUAAAGGGUGCGUAGGCGGCCCGUUAAGUCAGUGGUGAAAGCCUCCAGCUCAACUGGAGAACUGCCAUUGAUACUGGCGGGCUUGAGUACAGACGAGGUUGGCGGAAUGUGUCAUGUAGCGGUGAAAUGCAUAGAUAUGACACAGAACACCGAUUGCGAAGGCAGCUGACGAAACUGCAACUGACGCUGAUGCACGAAAGUGCGGGGAUCAAACAGG
rnacentral:rRNA from 1 species